AUUUUGGAUGGUGAACCCUGAAGUCGGUGUCUGCUGUGUUCACGGCAGGAUUCGGUUAGCUAAUGCACAAGCUGAGUGUGGAAGCCCCACCCAAAAUCCUGGUGGAGAGAUACCUGAUUGAAAUUGCGAAGAAUUACAAUGUACCCUAUGAACCUGACUCUGUGGUCAUGGCAGAAGCUCCUCCUGGGGUAGAGACAGAUCUUAUUGAUGUUGGAUUCACAGAUGAUGUGAAGAAAGGAGGCCCUGGAAGAGGAGGGGGUGGUGGCUUCACAGCACCAGUUGGUGGACCUGAGGGAACGGUGCCAAUGCCCAUGCCCAUGCCUAUGCCAUCUGCAAAUACGCCUUUCUCAUAUCCACUGCCAAAGGGACCAUCAGAUUUCAAUGGACUGCCAAUGGGGACUUAUCAGGCCUUUCCCAUUAUUCAUCCACCUCAGAUACCAGCAACUCCCCCAUCGUAUGAAUCUGUAGAUGACAUUAAUGCUGAUAAGAAUAUCUCUUCUGCACAGAUUGUUGGUCCUGGACCCAAGCCAGAAGCCUCUGCAAAGCUUCCUUCCAGACCUGCGGAUAACUAUGACAACUUUGUCCUACCAGAGUUGCCAUCUGUGCCAGACACACUACCAACUGCAUCUGCUGGUGCCAGCACCUCAGCAUCUGAAGACAUUGACUUUGAUGAUCUUUCCCGGAGAUUUGAAGAGCUGAAAAAGAAAACAUAGGUCUCUUAAACCAGGCAACUUUCAUGUUCUGGGAGUUGAGACUGAGCAAUUUCUCCUUGUAACAAAGAAUCUCCAUGAAAUUCUGUUUCAUCUGUUAACCGUCACUCAGCACAACACUCCUCCUCUGGGCUCUCUUCCUGCUCCUCCAGAUUCUGCUGCUUUCUAGUUCUCUGUUGAUCCUAACAACUGGAGACUGAGGCCGGAGCAUCUGGCUCCUGGCAGCUGUGCUUGUCCGUUUCCUGUCAGUGAUCCCAGGUUUCCUCCUGGCCCGUCCCAUGGUCCCUCCACAGGAGUGUGGGAGGAUGGGGAAGCACUGUGGGGAGACCACCAAAGAUGGCUGGACAGUGGGAGAGAGCACGUCGUGAAGCAUCCCAGCCUCGUGUUGAGGUUCCAGACUUAGAAACAAACAAACACCUCUGUACAGGGGGAUUGUGGUGAGUGAGAAUCAAGGCCACGGUGUGUGUUUUCUCACUCGAGAGAAAAUGACUCAGGACACCAUUGUAACAG
rnacentral:sRNA from 1 species